rnacentral:lncRNA from 1 species
GCCAGGAGUUGGCUGUAUGCCCCUGGUUCUUAGAACAGUGUUGAGACAACUUUGACUAGAUGUAGCCACUCUUCUGGAACAGAUGCUCUCUAAAGAUGAAGGUUCUGGGAAGGACAGAGAAGAAUCCAGAGGAAAUGGAUUCCUGCGCCGGUGCAUACACAUGGGGCAGGGGAGUGCUACUGCUGCUGCACAAAGAGUUAUGCCCUGCAGUCUGGGAGCACGAUUGUGUCUGUGCACCUGUGUGUUUCAGAGAUGCUCCAGCACACCAGCACUGACCUUCAGGCAGCCUCUUGCAGCCUCAGUCCCUGGGAAAAGCCCAGUUUCCUUCAUAAUCAUGUCAGGGAAGGGACAAGAGAUGGCACAUUUCACUCUAAUGGAAUGUUCUGGAAAGACUGUCAGAGGAAAUUUGUCUCUUGGAAAAUGAUCAGAAUCUUUUUGAGGUGAAGAUCAACCACUUCUAGGCAGAGACCAGUCCAUCUUCCACUGCCAUUCUGGCUUAAGUUCUCCACAGAUGAGUUGAAUCCCUCAGAAGCCACAUCAAAGUUCUGGAAAGAGUGAGGGAGUGAAAGGACACAGCCCCUGACCAGUGGCAUGGACUUGUUGGUGCAGCCAGUGCCAUGGGCUCCACUGCCCAGAGGAGAGCUCUGGAGAGGGCAGAGGAGGCAAGAGGAAGAAGGUGGGCUCUGAGAGCCACACCCACAGCUCAGAUUGCAGGGCAACAGAAGCCACUUUGUCUUCUAAACUCACCUCCCAAGGAAAAAACCCUUCUUCCUCCACUCCCAAAGUGCACCCUUGUUUAGUCAAGCCUGUGUCCCCUGCCCGUAGGAAGGAGGAAAGCUCUUUUUAGUACACCAGCAGAACUACAUUUGAUGAUGCAACUUAGUAACUUUGUGCUUAAGAACAAAGCAGCACUGCUUAGGGCCAAGGGAGGUGAAAGAGAAUCUCCUGGUGGUCAGAGCUCGGGGACAUCCCUGUUAGCUGGGUUGAUCAGGGAAGGCCUCAGGAAGAGGUAAGCUUGAUCUGUACUUUGGAGAUGGGAGGAAUCAGAGAACAGAGAGAAAAAUGGAGGGCACUUUGGCGGGGAAUUUAACACAGACCCUCUUACUCAUUGCACAUAGCUCUUUAAAGCUUACAAAGUAUGUUCACAUGUGUAAUCUCAUUUCAUCCUCAUUGGACUAUGGGAUCCCAGAGGUACUAUCUCAUUUGAGAAGCAAUUCAGCAUAGUAAUUAAGAGUGCAGUUUUUGAAUUUCUGGUUAAAUGUGGCAGAUGGAAUAAAUGCAUUUAUAUCUGCUCCCUCAACAAACCUCACAAAAAUAAAAGUAAAGCGAUGUAAAGAAGCCAAUGGUGGACCACAGAUGUCAACACAUUUUUGGAAGAUGGCAAGUGGAUGGACGGGUUGGCAGAGCUGAGAUAGCUGCAUACCAAGUGCUAUAGCAAAAGAUGCCAAAGAGAAGUCAGUCAGUUGGAGACCUAGGACAAGGGAAAGAUUAGAUAUUGGAGGCACAAGUUAUUGCAGAAGGUGGGAGUGAGGUAUGGGCUAAGAACAAGGGAAUGGGUUGAAAUUCUGCAUAAGAACCAGGUCCCUUCCAUAACAUACACAGGCAGAUAACUACAUCUUCCAUAUCUUGUCAAGGACUGGAGGUUUUAUUCUAGUUAAAAAGUGAAACAGGCCAGGCGCAGUGGCACAUACCUGUAGUGCCAGCUACAUGGGAGCCUAAGGUGGGAGAAUGGCUUGAGCCCGAGAGCUUGAGACCAGCCUGGGAAACAUAGUGAGAACUUGUUUCUAAUUAAAAAUAAAUAAAGCCGGGCAUGGUGGCUCACACCUGUAAUCCCAGCACUUUGGGAGGCCAAGGCGGGAGGAUCACAAGGUCAGGAGAUAGAGACCAUCUUGGCCAACAGGAUGAAACCCUGUCUCUACUAAAACACAAAAAAUUAGUUGGGUGUGGUGGCACGUGCCUUUAAUCCCAGCUACUUGGGAGGCUGAGGCAGGGGAAUCACUUGAACCUGGGAGGCAGAGGUUGUGGUGAGCUGAGAUCGUGCCACUGCACUCCAGCCUGGCGACAGAGCAAGACUUCGUCUCAAAAAUAAAUAAAUAAAUAAAUAGGUCAGGCGCAGUGGCUCACACCUGUAAUCUCAGCACUUUGGGAGGCUAAGGUGGGCGGAUCACAUGAGGCCAGGAGUUUGAGAUCAGUUUUGCCAACAUGGCAAAACCCCUCCUCUACUAGAAAUACAAAAAUUAGCUGAGCAUGGUAGUGCAUGCCUGUAACCCCAGCUACUCGAGAGGCUGAGGCAUGAGAAUCGCUUGAACCCAGGAGGCAGAGGUUGCAGUGAGCCAAGAUUGUGCCAUUGCACUUCAGCCUGGGUGACAGAGUGAGACUCUGUCUCCAGAAAGUAAAAAAAAUUAAAAAUAUAUAUUUAAAAACCCACCAAAGUUACUCAGGAGACUGAGGCAGGAGGAUCGCUUGAGACAGGGCAUUCUAGAAUGUGGUAAGUUAUGAUUGUGCCUGUGAAUAGCCACUGCAUUCCAGCCUGGGCAACGUAGCAACACCUCAUCUAUAAUUUUUUUUUUAAGUGAACCAGGGAUACUUCAUUUCAACACCGGGCACAGUGGAAAGCAGGUGACAGAUGUCAUAAUGAAAACAGGUGUGUUAGGAGACAGUCUGAACAUUAAGACCCUAGGCUCAUGAGACACAGUUUGUAGAAUACUGAUGGCCAGGUGAAUACCCACCCUCUCAGGUGGAGAUUAGGGAUUUUUUUACUAGGGAAACUGAGUAGAGGAAAGAUCUUUAGCUGGCCAUGGUGGGUGGCUCACACCUAUAAUCCUAGCACUUUGGGAAGCCAAGGCAGGCGGAUCAUUUGAGGUCAGGAGUUCACGACCAGCCUGGCCAAUAUAGUAAAACUACUCUACUCUCUACUAAAAAUACAAAAAUUAACCAGGUGUAGUGGUACACACCUGUAAUCCCAGCUACUCAGGAGGCUGAGGCAGGAGAAUCGCUUGAACCCAGGAGGCGAAGGUUGCAGUGAGCAAGAUGGCACCACUGCACUCCAGCCUGGGCAACAGAGAAAGACUCUCUCUCAAAAAAAAAAAAUCAAAAAUAAAAUAAAAUAAAAUAAAUAAAAUAAAAUAAACCCUUUAGAUACUGAGAAAGAGAUUAGAGAAAACGGAGAGAAGAGAGAGCACAGAAAUAAUAGAACGUUUCUCAGAGGUAAAAGACAUGAGUUUCUAGAACAAAAAGACUUACCCAAAGACCUACAAAUACAAUAUAUAAAAAUAUGCCCAAACCAAGUCUCAUUUGCAUGAAAUUUUUGAUGAACUAGGAUAUGGAUAAAAUACUUAAAGUUUCCUUACAGAAAGGAGAGGGUGCACACAAAGGAUAGCGUGGAAUCAGGAAUGGCAAUGGACUUCUCAACAGCCGUCCUGGAGCAAUGCCUUUAAAAGUCUAAAGAAUUCCUAUACUGGCCGGGCUCAGUGGCUCACAUCUGUAAUCCCAACACUUUGGGAGGCUGAGGUGGGUGGAUCCCGAGGUCAGGGGAUCAAGACCAUCUUGGCCAACAUGAUGAAACCCCCUCUCUACUAAAAAUACAAAAAUUAGUUGGGGGUGGUGGUGCGCGCCUGUAGUCCCAGCUACUUGGGAGGCUGAGGCAGGAGAAUUGCUUGCACCCAGGAGGUGCAGGUUGCAGUGAGCCAAGAUCGUGCCACUACCCUCCAGCCUGGUGACAGAGCGAGACUCUGUCUCAAAAAAAAAAAAAAAAAAAAAGAAUUCCUAUGUCAUUCAAGUUAUAAGCCAACUGUGAGGGUAGAAUAAAGAAUUAUCUGAAAUAUAAGGUAUCAAGAUUUUACUUCUCAUGAAUUCUUUUUUAAAUUUUUGAGACAGUCUUGCUCUGUUGCCCAGGCUGGAGUGCAGUGGCCCAGUCUCAGCUCAUGGCAACCUCUGCCUCCGAGGUUCAAGCAACUGCUGUGCCUCAGCCUCCCAAGUACCUGGAACUACAGGCGCUUACCACCACACCUGGCUAAUUUUUGUAUUUUUAGUGGAGAUGGGGUUUCGCCAUGUUGCCCAGUCUGGUCUCAAACUUCUGACUUCAAGUGAUCCGUCCACCACGGCGUCCGGAAGUGCUGGGAUUAUAGGCGUGAGCCACUGUGCCUGGCUCUUCUCGUGCAUUCUUUCUCAGGAAGCCGGUAAAGGACAUGCCCUGUCACACUGAGAUAAGGAUGUGCUUCACUAAAAUGGAAGACUAAGCCAAGAAAGAAAAGAUGUGUGGGAUCCAGGAAAAGGGGACCCACCCAAGAAAAGUGUGAAAGGGAAUCCUCUGAACAACUUCUGUGCAGAAGGCCCAGAGGGAGAUGGAAGGCUCCAGGUCUCCUUAAGGGAACAAAACGGGGGAAUUAAUAGAUUGCCUGAUGUGUUUCAUCAUGUGGAAAUUAGCAUUCAGAAGAUUUUUACAUUCUAUUGAAGAGUUGGGGAUGAAUUCAUGAUAAAGAUAUGGAAAACUAAGAAAAUGGCAGAAAGAAAAAAACAAGAUAAUUAACAUAAGUAAAAACAAAAAAUCAGCACAAGAAAGAUAAUGGAAGAUUAGUUUCAGCAGUAAAUCAUGUGUGUGAAAUCAGUAAGGCCAACACUGAAUACUGAUUUGACAAAAAAUUAUGAUGUAACUAUAUUGGAGUGGUGGAGAAAGGAGAUGAGUGGGGGUGGGGUGAUACAAACUAUUAAAUUAUUAUCUUCCAUAAUAAACUAAGAACAAGCAUUAUAAGUAUAUUAUUUUGAUAUUCAGAGGUAAAUACCAGUAGGCAGAGCUCAAAUGGUUUUUGUUUUUUCUUUUUGUUUUUGAGACAGAGUCUCACUCUGUCACCU